UGUCCACCAAGUGAAGGAGAUGACUAUAUCUUCCAUUGCCAUCCACCCGAUCAGAAGAUACCAAAGCCCAAGCGCCUGCAAGAAUGGUACAAAAAGAUGCUUGACAAGGCUGUGUCAGAACGCAUUGUCCAUGACUACAAGGAUAUUUUAAAGCAAGCUACUGAAGAUCGAUUAACAAGUGCAAAGGAAUUACCUUACUUUGAAGGUGACUUCUGGCCCAAUGUUCUGGAAGAAAGCAUCAAGGAACUUGAACAGGAAGAGGAAGAGAGGAAACGGGAAGAAAACACCAGCAACGAGAGUACCGAUGUAACAAAAGGCGAUAGCAAAAAUGCUAAGAAGAAGAAUAACAAGAAGACCAGCAAAAACAAGAGCAGCCUGAGCAGGGGCAACAAGAAGAAGCCUGGCGUGCCCAACGUGUCUAAUGACCUUUCUCAGAAACUGUACGCCACCAUGGAAAAGCAUAAAGAGGUCUUCUUUGUAAUCCGCCUCAUCGCUUGUCCUGCUCCCAACU
rnacentral:lncRNA from 1 species